rnacentral:rRNA from 1 species
UACGUAGGGGGGCUAGCGUUGUCCGGAAUCAUUGGGCGUAAAGCGCGUGUAGGCGGUCCGGUAAGUCCGCUGUGAAAGUCGGGGGCUCAACCCUCGGAUGCCGGUGGAUACUGUCGGGCUUGAGUACGGAAGAGGCGAGUGGAAUUCCUGGUGUAGCGGUGAAAUGCGUAGAUAUGCGGAGGAACACCGAUGGCGAAGGCAGCUCGCUGGGACGUUACUGACGCUGAGACGCGAAAGCGUGGGGAGCAAACAGG